rnacentral:rRNA from 1 species
CACGUAGGGCGCAAGCGUUGUCCGGAAUUAUUGGGCGUAAAGAGCUCGUAGGUGGUUUGUUACGUCUGCUGUGAAAACCUAGGGCUUAACCCUGGGCUUGCAGUGGAUACGGGCAGACUAGAGGUAGGUAGGGGAGAAUGGAAUUCCUGGUGUAGCGGUGAAAUGCGCAGAUAUCAGGAGGAACACCGGUGGCGAAGGCGGUUCUCUGGGCAACAACUGACGCUGAGGAGCGAAAGCGUGGGGAGCGAACAGG